rnacentral:rRNA from 1 species
GGUUAAGUCCCGCAACGAGCGCAACCCUCGUCCUUAGUUGCCAUCAUUAAGUUGGGCACUUUAAGGAAACUGCCGGUGAUAAGCCGGAGGAAGGUGGGGAUGACGUCAAGUCCUCAUGGCCCUUACAGGCUGGGCUACACACGUGCUACAAUGGCAUCUACAGUGGGCAGCUAUUCCGCAAGGAUGCGCUAAUCUCCAAAAGAUGUCUCAGUUCGGAUUGUCCUCUGCAACUCGAGGGCAUGAAGGCGGAAUCGCUAGUAAUCGCGGAUCAGCAUGCCGCGGUGAAUACGUUCCCAGGCCUU